rnacentral:rRNA from 1 species
UUUAAAUGUAAAUAAAAAAUUCUAAAUUAGUAUUAGUUAUGUUCUUGAAAGUUAAAGAUUUUGGCGGUAUUUUAGUCUUUUCAGAGGAACCUGUUCUAUAAUUGAUAAUCCACGAUUAAUUAAACUUAUUUUAAUUAAUUUGUAUAUCGUCGUAGUUUGAAUAUUUUAAAAGAAUAUAAAUAUUCAGAAAUUUUUAUAAAAAAAAAAAUCAGAUCAAGGUGCAGUUUAUAGAUAAGUAGAAAUGGGUUACAAUAAAAAUAAUUAUAUGGUAUAAAAAAUGAAAAAUUUUUAUUAAAGUGGAUUUGAAAGUAAUAUAAUUUAUUUAAAUUAUAUGAUUUAAGCUCUAAAAUAUGC